UACGGAGGGGGCAAGCGUUAUUCGGAAUUAUUGGGCGUAAAGGGCGCGUAGGCGGCUAGAUGUGUCAAAGGUGAAAUCCCUCGGCUCAACUGAGGAACUGCCUUUGAAACUGUCUGGCUUGAGGCCGGGAGAGGGUAGCGGAAUUCCCAGUGUAGCGGUGAAAUGCGUAGAUAUUGGGAGGAACACCUGUGGCGAAAGCGGCGCACUGGACCACAACUGACGCUGAGGCGCGAAAGCUAGGGGAGCAAACAGG
rnacentral:rRNA from 1 species